CCACUGGUUCAUAAGUUAUGCACCAUAAAGCUUCAGCCAAUGCAGGAAAGCUCUCACUGGGCCAAGCCAAAUCCUAGCGAAGGACCUUAAUUGGUCUAGCUUAGAUCCAAGUCAACUAUUGCUAAAGGAGUAGAGUCUAAUAAAAAUAUGGAGCCACCAUUGGCACAUGGUCAAUGCAGUAAAGGACCCAGCUAAGAAGAAUCUGCAAAGACAAAACAACUAACAGACUAAAUCCUGCGGAGCAGGCUCACAGCACAGGGCUGCUUACGGAGAAGACAAGACGACAGGAUGCACGAGGAGAGUGUGUGACAAUGUGAUUCCCCAGCAGAUGACCUACAGUAAUGACACAGUACAGAGGGUGUCCAAAGAAACAUUGUAAGGGGCCCAUGGGGCUGUGAAGCAUUGAGAAAUCUGAGCUGAGCUCUCACCAGCCUGGUAAAUUCCACUGGCACCAAGAUGCUGAGCCAAUUUAAAUGCAAAGCAAAAAACUUGCAAUGUUUGCCAGACUCUUUAAAAUGUAAUUAUAGCAACCCAUUCAAGGAUCAGUUUAACGUAUAAGCAACUUGGAGAAGACUGCUGAUCCCAUUCAAACAUUUUACAUUCCACAUACCUACGCAAUGACAUUACCUGGAG
rnacentral:lncRNA from 1 species